rnacentral:rRNA from 1 species
AUGACGAACCUCCUGGUGGGCUCCAACAUUAUCACCGAUCAUGACGCCAUGGUUGACGCCGCCUUCGACCACUUCUCUGAGGUACCCGGCACCGCCGCCGAGCGCGAUAUCACGCUCGAUCUUCAGGCUCUCCAGGUUCCGCGGUUUGACUUGCUUGAGCUAGAUGCGCCCUUCACCGAUGAGGAGAUCUGGGGCGCAGUCAAAAGCCUACCGGCCAGCAAGGCGCCCGGCCCCGAUGGCUUUACCUCCAAGUUCCUGGUUGCUUGUUGGGACACGAUCAAGCACGACUUCCGUGAAGCCUUCGACAAGCUAUACUCCAUGAAUGGCAGAAGCUUCCAAAAGCUAAAUGAGGCACUACUCACUUUGCUCCCAAAGCGCACGGACGCGAUAUCCCUCUAUGACUACCGGCUGAUUAGUCUCAUCAGAAUCUUCGCCAACCUUGCCGCGAAGCUGCUCUCCCUUCGACUGGCACCUCACCUGGGAUCCAUGGCGACGAUGACGUGGGAGCAUCCACCGGAAGGUGGGGGCAGGCCGCCGCCGCCGCCCACCGCCGAUCCUUGGCACGGGCGCCGCUUAUGCCGAAGACCAUGCGGCAGCGCUCCCUCUCCCCACCUCCCCCAACAACACCGCACCCUCUCUGAGCAACUAGCCUCGCUGCCUCCCCUCGCCGACCUCGCCUUGGCGGCUUUCCCUUGCCUCAGCUGUCUUUCCAAUCCCCCGAUUCUAACGCCUCGCCUUGGCCAUCUUCACCUCGCUGUCAGCCUUCCUGACUUCGCCGAUGGCUGCAACCCCGUCCUGGACGGCGGGGUAUGCAUGGUCCGUAAGAUGCGCGUCCUAUCGGGCCUUCCUAUCGCCUCCAGUGGGGAGCUGCUCAAGAUCAUCGACGGCCUCUUGUGGGCUUUGCCACCGCCAGCCUCUUUGUGCCCUAGCCUGCGCGGUAAACCUCCCGCCUCCAUGGGGUCAGCCCUGGUACAAGCGGUUCUGGAGGAGACAGUCAGCGCCGACGAUCUUCACUUGCGCUUUCGCGACUGCCUGAACACGAGUAAACACACCCAGGCAACUGCACGAGGAGGGCAGACGCGUUGA